CCUACAGGUGGCAGCAGUGGGGAAUAUUGCACAAUGGGGGAAACCCUGAUGCAGCGACGCCGCGUGAGCGAUGAAGUAUUUCGGUAUUUAAAGCUCUAUCAGCAGGGGAGAAAAUGACGGUACCUGACUAAGAAGCCCCGGCUAACUACGUGCCAGCAGCCGCGGUAAUACGUAGGGGGCAAGCGUUAUCCGGAUUUACUGGGUGUAAAGGGAGCGUGGACGGUACUUCAAGUCUGAUGGUAACGCCCGGGGCUCAACCCCGGGACUGCAUUUGGAACUGUAAGGCUAGAGUGUCGGAGAGGUAGGCGGAAUUCCUGGUGUAGCGGUGAAAUGCGUAGAUAUCAGGAGGAACACCAGUGGCGAAGGCGGCCUGCUGGACGAUGACUGACGUUGAGGCUCGAAAGCGUGGGGAGCAAACAGGAUUAGAUACCCGUGUAGUC
rnacentral:rRNA from 1 species